rnacentral:rRNA from 1 species
UACGAAGGGGGCAAGCGUUGUUCGGAAUUACUGGGCGUAAAGGGCUCGUAGGUGGCCAACUAAGUCAUACGUGAAAUCCCUCGGCUUAACCGGGGAACUGCGUCUGAUACUGGAUGGCUUGAGGUUGGGAGAGGGAUGCGGAAUUCCAGGUGUAGCGGUGAAAUGCGUAGAUAUCUGGAGGAACACCGGUGGCGAAGGCGGCAUCCUGGACCAAUUCUGACACUGAGGAGCGAAAGCCAGGGGAGCAAACGGG